rnacentral:tRNA from 1 species
GGUCUAUUAGUCUAGUUGGUUAGGACGUCGGAUUCUGAUUCACAACCAGACCUUCCGUAAGCCCAGGUUCGAAUCCUGGAUGGACCU